rnacentral:rRNA from 1 species
GGCUACCAUGCAGUCGAGGGGCAGCAUUUUAGUUUGCUUGCAAACUAAAGAUGGCGACCGGCGCACGGGUGAGUAACACGCUAUCCAACCUGCCGAUAACUCGGGGAUAGCCUUUCGAAAGAAAGAUUAAUAUCCGAUAGUAUAUUAAAACCGCAUGGUUUUACUAUUAAAGAAUUUCGGUUAUCGAUGGGGAUGCGUUCCAUUAGUUUGUUGGCGGGGUAACGGCCCACCAAGACUACGAUGGAUAGGGGUUCUGAGAGGAAGGUCCCCCACAUUGGAACUGAGACACGGUCCAAACUCAUACGGGAGGCAGCAGUGAGGAAUAUUGGUCAAUGGACGAGAGUCUGAACCAGCCAAGUAGCGUGAAGGAUGACUGCCCUAUGGGUUGUAAACUUCUUUUAUAUGGGAAUAAAGUAUUCCACGUGUGGGAUUUUGUAUGUACCAUAUGAAUAAGGAUCGGCUAACUCCGUGCCAGCAGCCGCGGUAAUACGGAGGAUCCGAGCGUUAUCCGGAUUUAUUGGGUUUAAAGGGAGCGUAGGUGGAUUGUUAAGUCAGUUGUGAAAGUUUGCGGCUCAACCGUAAAAUUGCAGUUGAAACUGGCAGUCUUGAGUACAGUAGAGGUGGGCGGAAUUCGUGGUGUAGCGGUGAAAUGCUUAGAUAUCACGAAGAACUCCGAUUGCGAAGGCAGCUCACUAGACUGCAACUGACACUGAUGCUCGAAAGUGUGGGUAUCAAACAGGAUUAGAUACCCUGGUAGUCCACACAGUAAACGAUGAAUACUCGCUGUUUGCGAUAUACAGUAAGCGGCCAAGCGAAAGCAUUAAGUAUUCCACCUGGGGAGUACGCCGGCAACGGUGAAACUCAAAGGAAUUGACGGGGGCCCGCACAAGCGGAGGAACAUGUGGUUUAAUUCGAUGAUACGCGAGGAACCUUACCCGGGCUUAAAUUGCAUUUGAAUAAUCUGGAAACAGGUUAGCCGCAAGGCAAAUGUGAAGGUGCUGCAUGGUUGUCGUCAGCUCGUGCCGUGAGGUGUCGGCUUAAGUGCCAUAACGAGCGCAACCCUUAUCUUUAGUUACUAACAGGUCAUGCUGAGGACUCUAGAGAGACUGCCGUCGUAAGAUGUGAGGAAGGUGGGGAUGACGUCAAAUCAGCACGGCCCUUACGUCCGGGGCUACACACGUGUUACAAUGGGGGGUACAGAAGGCAGCUACCUGGCGACAGGAUGCUAAUCCCAAAAACCUCUCUCAGUUCGGAUCGAAGUCUGCAACCCGACUUCGUGAAGCUGGAUUCGCUAGUAAUCGCGCAUCAGCCAUGGCGCGGUGAAUACGUUCCCGGGCCUUGUACACACCGCCCGUCAAGCCAUGAAAGCCGGGGGUACCUGAAGUACGUAACCGCAAGGAGCUCCUAGG